rnacentral:rRNA from 1 species
AGAAAAUUCGAUUCCCUUAGUAGCGGCGAGCGAAACGGGAAGAGCCCAAACCAACAAGCUUGCUUGUUGGGGUUGUAGGACACUCUAUACGGAGUUACAAAGGACGACAUUAGACGAAUCAUCUGGAAAGAUGAAUCAAAGAAGGUAAUAAUCCUGUAGUCGAAAAUGUUGUCUCUCUUGAGUGGAUCCUGAGUACGACGGAGCACGUGAAAUUCCGUCGGAAUCUGGGAGGACCAUCUCCUAAGGCUAAAUACUCUCUAGUGACCGAUAGUGAACCAGUACCGUGAGGGAAAGGUGAAAAGCACCCCGGAAGGGGAGUGAAAUAGAACCUGAAACCGUGUGCUUACAAGUAGUCAGAGCCCGUUAAUGGGUGAUGGCGUGCCUUUUGUAGAAUGAACCGGCGAGUUACGAUUUGAUGCAAGGUUAAGCAGUAAAUGUGGAGCCGUAGCGAAAGCGAGUCUGAAUAGGGCGUUUAGUAUUUGGUCGUAGACCCGAAACCAGGUGAUCUACCCUUGGUCAGGUUGAAGUUCAGGUAACACUGAAUGGAGGACCGAACCGACUUACGUUGAAAAGUGAGCGGAUGAACUGAGGGUAGCGGAGAAAUUCCAAUCGAACCUGGAGAUAGCUGGUUCUCUCCGAAAUAGCUUUAGGGCUAGCCUCAAGUGAUGAUUAUUGGAGGUAGAGCACUGUUUGGACGAGGGGCCCCUCUCGGGUUACCGAAUUCAGACAAACUCCGAAUGCCAAUUAAUUUAACUUGGGAGUCAGAACAUGGGUGAUAAGGUCCGUGUUCGAAAGGGAAACAGCCCAGACCACCAGCUAAGGUCCCAAAAUAUAUGUUAAGUGGAAAAGGAUGUGGCGUUGCCCAGACAACUAGGAUGUUGGCUUAGAAGCAGCCAUCAUUUAAAGAGUGCGUAAUAGCUCACUAGUCGAGUGACACUGCGCCGAAAAUGUACCGGGGCUAAACAUAUUACCGAAGCUGUGGAUUGUCCUUUGGACAAUGGUAGGAGAGCGUUCUAAGGGCGUUGAAGCAUGAUCGUAAGGACAUGUGGAGCGCUUAGAAGUGAGAAUGCCGGUGUGAGUAGCGAAAGACGGGUGAGAAUCCCGUCCACCGAUUGACUAAGGUUUCCAGAGGAAGGCUCGUCCGCUCUGGGUUAGUCGGGUCCUAAGCUGAGGCCGACAGGCGUAGGCGAUGGAUAACAGGUUGAUAUUCCUGUACCACCUAUAAUCGUUUUAAUCGAUGGGGGGACGCAGUAGGAUAGGCGAAGCGUGCGAUUGGAUUGCACGUCUAAGCAGUAAGGCUGAGUAUUAGGCAAAUCCGGUACUCGUUAAGGCUGAGCUGUGAUGGGGAGAAGACAUUGUGUCUUCGAGUCGUUGAUUUCACACUGCCGAGAAAAGCCUCUAGAUAGAAAAUAGGUGCCCGUACCGCAAACCGACACAGGUAGUCAAGAUGAGAAUUCUAAGGUGAGCGAGCGAACUCUCGUUAAGGAACUCGGCAAAAUGACCCCGUAACUUCGGGAGAAGGGGUGCUCUUUAGGGUUAACGCCCAGAAGAGCCGCAGUGAAUAGGCCCAAGCGACUGUUUAUCAAAAACACAGGUCUCUGCUAAACCGUAAGGUGAUGUAUAGGGGCUGACGCCUGCCCGGUGCUGGAAGGUUAAGAGGAGUGGUUAGCUUCUGCGAAGCUACGAAUCGAAGCCCCAGUAAACGGCGGCCGUAACUAUAACGGUCCUAAGGUAGCGAAAUUCCUUGUCGGGUAAGUUCCGACCCGCACGAAAGGCGUAACGAUUUGGGCACUGUCUCAACGAGAGACUCGGUGAAAUCAUAGUACCUGUGAAGAUGCAGGUUACCCGCGACAGGACGGAAAGACCCCGUGGAGCUUUACUGUAGCCUGAUAUUGAAAUUCGGCACAGCUUGUACAGGAUAGGUAGGAGCCUUUGAAACGUGAGCGCUAGCUUACGUGGAGGCGCUGGUGGGAUACUACCCUAGCUGUGUUGGCUUUCUAACCCGCACCACUUAUCGUGGUGGGAGACAGUGUCAGGCGGGCAGUUUGACUGGGGCGGUCGCCUCCUAAAAGGUAACGGAGGCGCUCAAAGGUUCCCUCAGAAUGGUUGGAAAUCAUUCAUAGAGUGUAAAGGCAUAAGGGAGCUUGACUGCGAGACCUACAAGUCGAGCAGGGUCGAAAGACGGACUUAGUGAUCCGGUGGUUCCGCAUGGAAGGGCCAUCGCUCAACGGAUAAAAGCUACCCCGGGGAUAACAGGCUUAUCUCCCCCAAGAGUUCACAUCGACGGGGAGGUUUGGCACCUCGAUGUCGGCUCAUCGCAUCCUGGGGCUGUAGUCGGUCCCAAGGGUUGGGCUGUUCGCCCAUUAAAGCGGUACGCGAGCUGGGUUCAGAACGUCGUGAGACAGUUCGGUCCCUAUCCGUCGUGGGCGUAGGAAAUUUGAGAGGAGCUGUCCUUAGUACGAGAGGACCGGGAUGGACAUACCUCUGGUGUACCAGUUGUCGUGCCAACGGCAUAGCUGGGUAGCUAUGUGUGGACGGGAUAAGUGCUGAAAGCAUCUAAGCAUGAAGCCCCCCUCAAGAUGAGAUUUCCCAACUUCGGUUAUAAGAUCCCUCAAAGAUGAUGAGGUUAAUAGGUUCGAGGUGGAAGCAUGGUGACAUGUGGAGCUGACGAAUACUAAUCGAUCGAAGACUUAAUCAA